GACGAACGCUGGCGGCGUGCUUAACACACGCAAGUCGAACGGAAAGGCCCUGCUUUUGUGGGGUGCUCGAGUGGCGAACGGGUGAGUAACACGUGAGUAACCUGCCCUUGACUUUGGGAUAACUUCAGGAAACUGGGGCUAAUACCGGAUAGGAGCUCCUGCUGCAUGGUGGGGGUUGGAAAGUUUCGGCGGUUGGGGAUGGACUCGCGGCUUAUCAGCUUGUUGGUGGGGUAGUGGCUUACCAAGGCUUUGACGGGUAGCCGGCCUGAGAGGGUGACCGGCCACAUUGGGACUGAGAUACGGCCCAGACUCCUACGGGAGGCAGCAGUGGGGAAUAUUGCACAAUGGGCGGAAGCCUGAUGCAGCAACGCCGCGUGCGGGAUGACGGCCUUCGGGUUGUAAACCGCUUUCGCCUGUGACGAAGCGUGAGUGACGGUAAUGGGUAAAGAAGCACCGGCUAACUACGU
rnacentral:rRNA from 1 species